rnacentral:lncRNA from 1 species
UUCGAAAACCAUAUCAUCACCAAUUCCCCUUCCAAAUACCUCCCUCUCUUUUCACUCUCUUUACUCAACCCCCACCCCGACUUCCCCACUACCACUGCCCUUAUAUUCUUCCAAAAAUACCCCUCAGUCUUAACCCGAUUCCAGCCCUGCCGUCGCUUCUCUACCCGUCAAAGUCUCCCCACAGGCUUUGACUGUCCGCAAGGAAGAAUCAGCC